GCAAUUGAGAAUGCCUCCCUGAACAAGCCAGAUCUCGUCUGAUCUCAGAAGCUAAGCAGGGUCGGGCCUGGUUAGUACUUGGAUGGGAGACCACGUAGGAAGACCAGGUCCUGUAGGCG
rnacentral:rRNA from 1 species